rnacentral:rRNA from 1 species
CAGCCGCCGCGGUAAUACGAAGGGUGCAAGCGUUACUCGGAAUUACUGGGCGUAAAGCGUGCGUAGGUGGUGGUUUAAGUCCGUUGUGAAAGCCCUGGGCUCAACCUGGGAAUUGCAGUGGAUACUGGGUCACUAGAGUGUGGUAGAGGAUAGUGGAAUUUCCGGUGUAGCAGUGAAAUGCGUAGAUAUUCGGAAGAACACCAGUGGCGAAGGCGGCUCACUGGCUCAUACUGGACGCUGAGGUGCGAAAGCGUGGGGAGCAAACAGGAUUAGAUACCCGUGUAGUCCCUGUCUCUUAUAC